AACGAACGCUGGCGGCAUGCCUAACACAUGCAAGUCGAACGAGACCUUCGGGCUUGUGGGCCCCGGGGGGGGUAAGCGGGGGGAACCUUCCCUUGGGUUUGAAAUACCUCCCGGAAGGGGUUCCUAAUACGGAAUAAUGUCUCGGACCCAAGGAUUUAUCGCCUUUGGUUGGGCCCGCGUUGAAUUAGCAAGUUGGAGGGUAAAAGCCUACCAAGGCGACGAUCCAUAGCUGGUCUGAGAGGAUGAUCAGCCACACUGGGACUGAGACACGGCCCAGACUCCUACGGGAGGCAGCAGUGGGGAAUAUUGGACAAUGGGCGAAAGCCUGAUCCAGCAAUGCCGCGUGAGUGAUGAAGGCCUUAGGGUUGUAAAGCUCUUUUACCCGGGAUGAUAAUGACAGUACCGGGAGAAUAAGCUCCGGCUAACUCCGUG
rnacentral:rRNA from 1 species